rnacentral:rRNA from 1 species
AUUGAACGCUGGCGGCAGGCCUAACACAUGCAAGUCGAGCGGAGCGGCGGACGGGGGAGGAAUGCCUAGGAAUCGGCCAGGUAGUGGGGGAGAAGGUCCGGAAACGGGAGCUAAUACCGCAUACUAUCAGAUGAGGCUAGGUCGGAUUAGCUAGUUGGUGGGGGAAAGGCCUACCAAGGCGACGAUCCGUAACUGGUCUGAGAGGAUGAGCAGUCACACUGGAACUGAGACACGGUCCAGACUCCUACGGGAGGCAGCAGUGGGGAAUAUUGCACAAUGGGCGCAAGCCUGAUCCAGCCAUGCCGCGUGUGUGAAGAAGGUCUUCGGAUUGUAAAGCACUUUAAGUUGGGAGGCGUUACCCGCAGAAUAAGCACCGGCUAACUUCGUGCCAGCAGCCGCGGUAAUUC